UACGUAGGGGGCAAGCGUUGUUCGGAAUUACUGGGCGUAAGGGCGCGUAGGCGGCACAGCAAGUCGGGAGUGAAAGCCCGGGGCUCAACCCCGGAAUGGCUUUCGAAACUGCUGAGCUAGAGUACAGAAGGGGCAACCGGAAUUCCCAGUGUAGCGGUGAAAUGCGUAGAUAUUGGGAAGAACACCUGAGGCGAAGGCGGGUUGCUGGGCUGAUACUGACGCUGAGGCGCGAAAGCCAGGGGAGCAAACGGG
rnacentral:rRNA from 1 species